AAGACUGGCCAGACGAAAGACGCGUCUAAUGUUGGAACCGACCAGGCUGCAACAACUUGUAGCGCCGCGGAGACGUGCGCAGCGAACCAUUACCUGACCUUGGAUGCUGACAGCGGCAAGGACUACUGCAAGGCGUGCCCGGAAGGCACGACGAGCUCUGGCGGCUCGGCGAGAGCGUGCACGUGUGGUGGGACACAGUACUUUGAGGAUGGCGAGUGCAAGGACUGCCCGAGCACGUCAACCUGCCCAUCCCUUUCAUGCUCCGCACUGACCGAAUGCACGUGUCCGGCAAACCACUACGUCGAGAAAUCCGGGAACUCGUGGUCCUGCACGGCGUGCAAGACUGGCCAGACGAAAGACGCGUCUAAUGUUGGAACCGACCAGGCUGCAACAACUUGUAGCGCCGCGGAGACGUGCGCAGCGAACCAUUACCUGACCUUGGAUGCUGACAGCGGCAAGGACUACUGCAAGGCGUGCCCGGAAGGCACGACGAGCUCUGGCGGCUCGGCGAGAGCGUGCACGUGUGGUGGGACACAGUACUUUGAGGAUGGCGAGUGCAAGGACUGCCCGAGCACGUCAACCUGCCCAUCCCUUUCAUGCUCCGCACUGACCGAAUGCACGUGUCCGGCAAACCACUACGUCGAGAAAUCCGGGAACUCGUGGUCCUGCACGGCGUGCAAGACUGGCCAGACGAAAGACGCGUCUAAUGUUGGAACCGACCAGGCUGCAACAACUUGUAGCGCCGCGGAGACGUGCGCAGCGAACCAUUACCUGACCUUGGAUGCUGACAGCGGCAAGGACUACUGCAAGGCGUGCCCGGAAGGCACGACGAGCUCUGGCGGCUCGGCGAGAGCGUGCACGUGUGGUGGGACACAGUACUUUGAGGAUGGCGAGUGCAAGGACUGCCCGAGCACGUCAACCUGCCCAUCCCCUCCAUGCUCCGCACUGACCGAAUGCACGUGUCCGGCGAACCACUACGUCGAGAAAUCCGGGAACUCGUGGUCCUGCACGGCGUGCAAGACUGGCCAGACGAAAGACGCGUCUAACGUCGGAACCGAAGAGGCUGCA
rnacentral:lncRNA from 1 species